AGGCCCGUAGUUCAAUGGUAGAACGAUUAUCUUAUACAUAAUUCACGAGGGUUCGAUUCCUUCCGGGCCUACAA
rnacentral:tRNA from 5 species